GACGAACGCUGGCGGCGUGCUUAACACAUGCAAGUCGAACGAUGAUGCCAGCUUGCUGGUGGAUUAGUGGCGAACGGGUGAGUAACACGUGAGCAACCUGCCCCUGACUUCGGGAUAACCGCGGGAAACCGUGGCUAAUACCGGAUAUGACGCGCUAUCGCAUGGUGGUGUGUGGAAAGAUUUAUCGGUUGGGGAUGGGCUCGCGGCCUAUCAGCUUGUUGGUGGGGUGAUGGCCUACCAAGGCGACGACGGGUAGCCGGCCUGAGAGGGUGACCGGCCACACUGGGACUGAGACACGGACCAGACACCUACGGGAGGCAGCAGUGGGGAAUAUUGCACAAUGGGCGCAAGCCUGAUGCAGCGACGCCGCGUGAGGGAUGACGGCCUUCGGGUUGUAAACCUCUUUCAGUAGGGAAGAAGGCCUUCGGGUUGACGGUACCUGCAGAAGAAGCGCCGGCUAACUACGUG
rnacentral:rRNA from 1 species